rnacentral:misc_RNA from 1 species
GAUGAAGAACGCAGCGAAAUGCGAUAAGUAGUGUGAAUUGCAGAAUUCAGUGAAUCAUCGAAUCUUUGAACGCACAUUGCGCCUCUUGGUAUUCCUAGAGGCAUGCCUGUUCGAGCGUCAUUAAAAGCCAUCAAGCGAGCUUGCCUCGCUUGGUCCUGGGGGAUGGGGUCACCCUUCGGGGAGGCGCCACCCUCGAAAUCCAACGGCGGACAACCACCAGUGGAAACUGCAGCGUAGUAAUUCAUUCUUUCGCCAGCGGCCACGGAGGGACUGUCCCGCCGGUCAAACCCCCACAUAUUCAAUGGUUGACCUCGGAUCAGGUAGGGAUACCCGCUGAACUUAAGCAUAUCCAAUAAGCGGAGGA